GCGGGUGUGAUGGAACAGGUAGACAUAGCAGACUUAAAAUCUGCUGGGCGUUCGCCCGUGCCGGUUCGAGUCCGGCCACCCGCACCA
rnacentral:tRNA from 1 species